AUCCAACUGACGAGUCAUAGAUAGGAUGAAACGCACGUGCUGGAU
rfam:Schistosoma mattheei strain Denwood, Zambia genome assembly, scaffold: SMTD_scaffold0008595